UUAAAUUAAAUUGCCAAGCACAAUAAGACAGCUGUGUUGUAAGGAGCACUUAUGUUAUUGCAAGCAUUAUUUAAAGAAAAUCCCAGCUUCCUUGACUGUGUAAAUAGUGAACCCAAAGGUCCCACACCAACCAUAGUGUUCAACGGCUCUCCUGAUCUUCUCAAAUCUGAAAGUAUCAACUUUAUAAUGGACAAUGUGAACUUAAUAUGUGGAAGACAUUGACAUCACAGGCUGUGGAAUGACUGUGUCACAGGUCGGAGAAGCGGACCGCCCCUGUCGCGGAUCACGCUCCUCCUAGUUCCACCUCGAGGAGGUCCCAAAGCACCCCAAUGACCAGACAAACCAGAGAUAAGUAAAAUAUAGAAAUAGAAACUUUAUUUAAAUUAUUUAAAACUAAAGUGGGGAAUGGGAAAGGGAAUCUAAAAAUCUCGCUUCUCGCCCUCAGGGGGAGUAUUACGGGGCCAGGGACGUUGGAGGGGUUUCCACAUGACUCCAGCUGGAACACCACUACAGAGCGUAUCUGGGUGGGUUGGGCACACACCGUCGCGGCGGCCCCUGAUGGCAUCCACAAAGGUCCGAGACCCUCCUAAGCUCCUAGCCGUAGCAGAACUACGUAUUUCAGCACCCGAAGGACUAACAACCCAGCCGGCAUCUGCAGCGUAUAUCCAACGCGAUCAAACUUCACUCUGACAAGUAACUUCCUAUACACAACCACGCCGUCCUUUCGCCUGGACCAGCCCCGCACUCUUUCCGCCCGCUACCUAGCGGUCGCCGGAUCAGCAGAGCCUGCGGACUCUUCGGAGGCUGGUCUUCGUUGUGCUGCCCAAGGCGGAAGUUGACUCGCCCGAAAAUCGACCCUUCCAGUAACUUCUACCUUCUCUCUUUAUAUCCUCCUCCAUGGCGUGGCUCGCCCAACCAUCGCUCGCCACGUCACUUACACAGCUGUGCCUUGUUUCAGCAAGUGCGGGGAUUCCCGGGGAACCCUGAAGUGCCGGUGUCUCUACAAACCGGUCCGGGCGGAACCUCUUCACUCUCCUUUUGGUUCCGCCCCGCAUAGUCACUCCGUGACAACUGUUUGCGUUUUUUUUUCUCCUCAAUGUUCAAUACCCUUUUGCCAUUAAGCACACAGUGACUUUAAUUUAUAAAAUAUAUGCUUAAGUUUUAAUACCUGUACAAAACAAAUGUACAAUCAACUUGUUUAAAUUGUCAUUCUAUU